GGUGGAUGGUGUGCAUAGAAUUGGUCUGUGUUAUGUGCUGUUGUCUUGCUGUGUUUUACAGUGAUGCAGCAGUGCUCACUCCGCACCUGCAGCCAUAGAUGAAUUGGAGAUCAUAGUACUGGCCAUUGACCUUUUUCACCAUUGGUCAGCCUCCAUACUCUCCUACAUCU